UUGUAGGCGUACGGUGGAUGCCUGGGCACCAGAUGCUGAUGAAGGACGUGGGAGGCCGCGAUAGGCCUGGGGGAGUUGUCAACCGAGCUGUGAUCCCAGGGUGUCCGAAUGGGGUAACCUGGCCGGGGUGAUGCCCGGUCACCGGUGUCUGAAGAGAUUAGGGCGCCGGGGGGCACGCGGGGAACUGAAACAUCUCAGUACCCGCAGGAAGAGAAAACAAGAUGUGAUUCCCUGAGUAGUGGUGAGCGAACGGGGAGGAUGGCUAAACCGUCUGCGUGUCAAGCCGGUGGGUGUUGCGUGGGCGGGGUUGUGGGAGCGCCUGGUCAUCACCACCGUGGUGGCGCUGGUUGUGUGGUGUUAGCUGAAGGUGUUGGAAGGCACUGGCGGAGUGGGUGAGACCCCCGUAGGUGAAGGCACUGCACAGGCUGGUGGGGCGUGGUCCCGAGUAGCGCGGGACUCGUGUAAUCUCGUGUGAAUCGGCCAGGACCGCCUGGUAAGCCUGAAUACGUCUGGUGACCGAUAGUGGAUGUGUACCGUGAGGGACUGGUGAAAAGUACCCCGGGAGGGGAGUGAAAGAGUUCCUGAAACCGUGCGCUGUUAAACCGUCAGAGCAUGCCCUGGUGGUGUGUGAUGGCGUGCCUUUUGAAGAAUGAGCCUGCGAGUUAGUGGUGCGUGGCGAGGUUAACCCGUGUGGGGGAGCCGGAGCGAAAGCGAGUCUGAAUAGGGCGAGUGUAGUCGCGUGCUCUAGACCCGAAACCGAGUGAGCUACCCGUGGCCAGGGUGAAGCGCGGGUAAGACCGUGUGGAGGCCCGAACCCACCAGGGUUGAAAACCUGGGGGAUGAGCUGUGGGUAGGGGUGAAAGGCCAAUCAAACUCGGAGAUAGCUGGUUCUCCCCGAAAUGCAUUUAGGUGCAGCGUCGCGUGGUGCUUGGUGCAGGUAGAGCGACUGGAUGGCUGAUGGCCCCGGUGGGGGUACUGACGUCAACUAAACUCCGAAUGGCAUCAACGUUAGCAGCGUGGCAGUGAGUCCGUGGGGGAAAAGCUCCACGGUCGAGAGGGAAACAGCCCAGAUCACCGGCUAAGGCCCCGAAGUGUGUGCUGAGUGGAAAAGGAUGUGGGAUUGCCGAGACAACCAGGAGGUUGGCUUAGAAGCAGCCAUCCUUGAAAGAGUGCGUAACAGCUCACUGGUCAAGUGAUCCUGCGCCGAUAAUGUAGCGGGGCUUGUAAGUACACCGCCGAAGCCGUGACACAGCAGCGUUGCUGUUGUGGGUAGGGGAGCGUCCCGCACGCCAGUGAAGCCGCGGUGGAAACCUGUGGUGGAGGGUGUGGGAGUGAGAAUGCAGGCAUGAGUAGUGCAUGGGCAGUGAGAAUCUGUCCCGCCGGAAGACCAAGGGUUCCAGGGCCAGGUUGUUCCGCCCUGGGUGAGUCGGAUCCUAAGGCGAGGCCGUCAGGCGUAGUCGACAGGACAACGGGUUGAUAUUCCCGUACCCGCGUGGCACCGCCCCAUACCAGCCCCCAUGC
rnacentral:rRNA from 1 species